rnacentral:lncRNA from 1 species
UCACAUUACUUUCCUGUUACAAAACAUUUCAUGAUCCCAUGAACUCAACCUGAUAUUCAAGGCCUUCCAGGUAAUGACCUUAACUUAGCACACUCUUCCCUCCCAUUUCUCACCAUCAAAUAGCUCAUACUGACCCUGGACUUUCUCAGGCUUUUCUCCCUUUCUUGUUCUAGUCUUCAGCUCCUUUUGCUUAUUACGUUUCAGCUGCCAAUGCCCCAUCCAUAUUCCAGAUCGACUUCAAUUGCCUACUUUGGAAAUGUUAGUUUGUUUUCAUACUUUUAAAGUGUCUGUCCAAUUGCUACAACUUUUGAACUUCUGAGGGUACAUUCUUUUCAUUUUAAGAUCAAGUUCUUCCUUUACAUUACUAAUCCCUGGUAGAAUAAGGUUACCUUCAAUAUUCUUGUUUCAUCACCUUUGAGCAUAAUCUCUGCAUUACCUACUACAGCCAGUAUAUAAACUCACACAACAUCCUGCUUACUCUCCUUUUAUGCUUU